UGUCAGAUGAUCCCAGCAGCUCUGAUUCUUCGUCUCUUCGGUUCCAACAGCACUGUUUCCUUUUGAUACUGGAGGUUCAAGAACUGGAACACAAAAUAGAAGGUUUUAAAACAAUGUGGAAUUGCAAAGAGUAACUAUGUCGUCAAAGGUUAACUGAUCAAUAUAUUAAGAACCCAAAAGCGGAAUUGCAAAGAGUAACUAUGUCGUCAAAGGUUAACUGAUCAAUAUAUUAAGAACCCAAAAGCUCCAUUUUAGACGAAGAAAAGAAUAAGCAAACAGAAAGCACCUGCCCUAUCCAUCUCCAGGCAAGAAAGUCUAGCACCUUUGUUCCAAAGAAGACAUGCAUGCCCACUAGAUUUUAGAUAUACAAAUCUAGAGAUAAUCAAUAUCCGAUUAUAGAUAUCGAAAAACAUGAGUUAGAUGAUGAGUUCAGCAUUUUUUACGAGUGAAAUGUCCUGAUUUCUUCUUUGAGGUUCAAACAAAAGGAGGAAGAAAAUUUCUGCCUUAUACAAAAUGAGAAGACAAUCAAUUGUCGUAUCAGAACAAUGAUGAACUUCAAUUAAGAUCUCAUUGGUAAAAAACAAUGCAUGCCUUCCAUAGUAGAAAGUGCAGAAAACUGAGUUGAUCUUUAAAACACAGGUACAUUCUCACACAAAACUGAGUUCCAAAACUAC
rnacentral:lncRNA from 1 species